rnacentral:rRNA from 1 species
AUUCCAGCUCCAAUAGCGUAUACUAAAGUUGUUGCAGUUAAAAAGCUCGUAGUUGGAUUUCUGGUCGAGGCAGCCGGUCGGCACCAAGUGUGUUUGUACCAGGCGCCUCGUCCAUUUUUGUAGAAGCUGUGUCUGUCAUUCAGUUGUCGGGCAUAGGGUCUGCAUCAUUUACUGUGAGCAAAAUAGAGUGUUCAAAGCAGGCUUAGGCCAUGAAUACAUUAGCAUGGAAUAAUAAGAUAAGACCUAGGUCUAUUUUGUUGGUUAGCAUUCCGAGGUAAUGUUUAAUAGGGAUAGUUGGGGGUAUUCGUAUUCAAUUGUCAGAGGUGAAAUUCUUGGAUUUAUUGAAGACGAACUACUGCGAAAGCAUUUACCAAGGAUGUUUUCAUUA